rnacentral:rRNA from 1 species
UACAGAGGUCUCAAGCGUUGUUCGGAUUCAUUGGGCGUAAAGGGUGCGUAGGUGGCAUGGUCAGUCGGAUGUGAAAUCCCGGGGCUCAACCCCGGAACUGCAUUCGAUACUGCCGCGCUAGAGUACUGGAGAGGGAAGUGGAAUUCCUGGUGUAGAGGUGAAAUUCGUAGAUAUCAGGAGGAACACCAGUGGCGAAGGCGGCUUCCGUGGACCACCAACUGACGCCUGAGAC